rnacentral:lncRNA from 1 species
AGUGCUGGGUCAGCGGCGGAGCUGGCAAGGAGCUUCCCUCGCCCACAGGUCACUGAGCAAAGUUGUUUUGUGUCCAUGCAUCGCAGCUCCCAUCCUGGGACAUAAUAAGGGGAGGAUUUGUAGGCAUUCCCAGGAAGGAAUGAAAAACAAACACUUGGAUUUUGCGCUGUGACCUCCCUUCAAUGUCCAGGAAGAGAAUGACUUAAAUGUCAACUAAAGCAGGCCUUCACACAGGAGGAAGAGAGAAACUCCCUUUUAGAUACUGAAAGGCCACUCUCAGGUCUCCUCGGAGCCUUCUCCAGGCUGAACAGCCCCAGCUCUCUCAGCCUGUCCUUGCAGGGAGAUGUUCUAUCUCUUGGAUCAUUUUUGUGGCCCUCUGAAUGCACUCCAACAAGUCCAUGUCUCUCCUCUACCAAGGACUCCACAAAAGCGGUGUUCUUCGUUGCUUUAUUUUCAACAAGGUACAAGCCGCCAGCUGUUAUUUAUCGGCUUGUGAAAGGAAAAACUCCACAUGGCCAUGUUUUAAAAUCCACCUCUUUAUGAACAGAUUGUGAUUUCACAUGCUGAAUAUGUUUUAUACAUGUCGUGCUUUUAGAGAUGUUGAGUGGACCUGAAGCACAGGUGAAAUGCUGAGGUGAUGUACAACAGCUCAGACUCGAUUUACAUGGCUGCAGCUCCAUGUAGUGAGGGUUGGACGUCUUGACUUGGUUGAUUUUUGAGGGAUUUUUCUGUACUGAUGCUAGUUUAAUUGAACUUAAGAUAAUGGUUGCUGGGGGCUGAGAGUGGAAGAGGCUAUUCUUUCAAUAAUUAUCAGAUCUCAUGUCAAGGAAACUGCUUUGUGUGAAAAAGAACAAGGCAGAACUAGGCUAUUACAGACUUGUGCACUCUACUAUCUAUUUUGGGCCAAGAUCCAAAAGCAUUUCAUGGUUUAAAACAGUGUCCAGAGAUUUCAGCUGGGAUAGAAGCCCAUUUCUCUGCAUUGAACAAGCAUAGAAGAAAUGUUCUGACACCAAAGACUUUGCAGUCUUGCUGAAACAACAGACAGAAUGGGGAUGGGAUGGAAGGAUGAAAGCAACUGGGACUGAAGCAGAGCUUAUACAGACGUACAAGGGCCUCUCUGAAAAUGUCUCCUAAUCUAUUGUGUUGACCCACAAUGUCAGAGGUGGAUAUUGGUGGUAUGGCAUUAGAGAAUGAACCUUCCUAACAGCAUUCCAUUACAUUUUGUUGCUGUGUGACAGCUGGCAGCAGAGGAUCAGUCUGACAAAAUGGCAUCUGACAUGGAAGCAUGUAUGAAGCAAAGGUAUCUCACUGAAUUCCUCCAUGUGAAAAAAAAUUGCAUCCCUUGACAUUCAUCGACUCUUGCUGAAUGUUUAUGAAGACCAAACAGUGGCUGUGAGCACAGUGAAGUGAUGGGUGGUGCAUUUCAGCAGCAGUGACAGUGACAGUGGAUCACCUCUGCUGGUGCAGAUUUUUAGGAGAGUGGCAUGCAGGCUCUUGUUCAUCACUCGUGAAAAUUCAUAGCUAAUGGUAGCGACUAUGUUGGAAAACAGUGUUUUGUACCUGAGAAUUUGCUUUAUCAAAUAGUGUUAUUGUGCUCUUUGUAUCUGUUUUUGUUUCUAUGGAAAUAAAUAGGAGGUGUUACUU